rnacentral:sRNA from 1 species
UAAUUGAGAAAUCUUAAAAAAAAAAAUUAACUACAAAGAUCUGAAUACACUGAACGAAUUUGGCUUUUUUUCCAUCUUUGUCAUAGCCAUACAAUCUACAGUUGUAGACCAUUAUUUGAACAUUUUGAGGUGUGUGUUAUUACCAUACUUGGCAACACUAAUGUUUUACAUUUCUGAGUAAAGGUAGUAUAUUGUACACCUGAAGGUUAUCUUUACGGAAAUAAAGUGGAUGGAAAU